GGCAGACAGAGCAAGAAGCUUCAUCCUCAAAAGCCUGUGCUGGAUCGGCAGCAGCCAUGGAGCCUUCUGAGUAGCAGCUCAGCUGAGCAGAUAUGCACUGGGUGCCCCAGGCGGCAGGGGAAGAGCUGGAGUGGCUUGGAGGUAUCUGGAGUGAUGGAUGCACUGCUCAUAACAGCACUCUCAAACGCUGCCUCCACAUCAGCACAGACACCUCCAGCAGCCAAGUCACCCACACCCGACCGGGCUCCGGCCUGCAGACAUGGUCCGGUAUUGUUGUGCCAGACACACGGGGAAUGGAAACCACGAGAGCGGCACAAAAACCAGCCCCACAGCACCCGCCUGCAUGUGCGAGCAGGAGAGGCAGCAGGUGCCAGCACCAUGCUCUGCCUGCUGGGGCUGACACAUCAGGCCUUUUAGAUCACUGAAACCAGCCUGGGAUUAAAUUUCAUACUCACACACGCGCGCGCGCACACACACACACACACACACACUUCUGCUCUGUAUCAUUAAUGUGUAAAACACACACACAGCCUGCUGCUCUAUAUCAUUUUUCUAUAAAACACAAAUGUGGUGAGCAUGUUUGUUAUUACCCUGAAAUAGAAUAGUUUUCUGAUAGCAUACUGUUAGGUUAACAAUAAUUUAGAUUAUUAAGAAGUAUUAGCUUUGCAGCUGAAUACAAGGCAUGACCUGUGGCCUAGCAAUGCCGCUGACCACAAGGCAGAAUGAUAGCUAAGCCUUUGCUUGUGUCAAGUAAUCAUUUUAACUGUGUUAAGCAUUUUCUGAGUAAAAUGCAGCAAGUGAAUCUGUGUCUGUGUGCUGUAAAAUCAGCUACAGCAAGGAACAAGAUAAGACAAAGAAGCCAUUGUUCUAAGUACAGUGAUCGUGUCUUUAAGAAGUAUCUACCACUGCAAGUUCUUGCUAACCUAUCAUAAUGUUACUGUUACUGUUACUUAACUUUUAGCUUUUAAAAAGUACCAAUUCAGCUUAAUAGAAAUAUACUGUUAUAAAGAUCUAUGAAGCACCGCCCAAGUAUUACUUUUGUUAACCCUGUAGUCUUGCCUUGUUGUAAAAAGUAUAAAAGAUCACCCCACCUGUUGUCCCCAAAGGACAGUGAGUUCGUGCCCGGUGCACUUGUGCCAAUAAACACACAGGGGUGAAGGAUCCAACUUAAUCUUUAUUUCUGCGCAGAAAGUGGUGCUUGGCAAUCGUUCGCAAAGCAAGCACCCACACCCCAGUGGGCGUCUGCCUUAUAUAGCUACGUAACAGGUUAAACUUGCUGAUGUGAUGAAAGGUAUAGCAAGCCCAGCAAGUAACCCCCCUUCCAGCUCCCCCCCAAGUAACCCCCUUCCAGCUCCGGAACUUUGCUGAUACAGCUUUCCUUCUAGUGAGGCCAGCAAUCAGCAACUACGCAACAAGCAAUCUCCCCCAGCCUAAACAACCUACUCUAUGCCCUUGGUUAGAUAAAAUACUUUUUCAAAACAUACAAAGCUGUUCCCUGGUUAAAAUUAAGUGAAAGUCCAGGGGUGCUUCAUCACACCCUUUAGGGGGGCCAUUUUACCUCUUUGCUAGCUUAAUGGUCAUUGCUCGAGCAAAUGUACUGCAGUAAACUUUACCCGUGUUGUCUAAUCCCUAUGCAGCUAAACAAUAAACCCCAGGGAGUUUUCUCCCACCACACAAA